rnacentral:rRNA from 1 species
GACGAACCGUGCGAACGUUGUUCGGAAUCACUGGGCUUAAAGGGCGCGUAGGCGGACUGCCAAGUCCGGGGUGAAAUCUUUCGGCUCAACCGGAAAAUAGCCUCGGAGACUGGCGGUCUGGGAGGGGGGGUAGGGGCAGCUGGAACUUCCGGUGGAGCGGUGAAAUGCGUUGAUAUCGGAAGGAACGCCGGUGGCGAAAGCGAGCUGCUGGACCUUUUCUGACGCUGAGGCGCGAAAGCCAGGGGAGCAAAUGGG